rnacentral:misc_RNA from 1 species
CGCUCUCGAGACCCGACUUCUCGACCUUCGCGAAAGCGCCGUUUCCGUCGUUGUGAAAAAGGAAAUUCGCCUCGCCGGCGUUGCCGAUGACGAGGUCCGGAAAGCCGUCGUUGUCGAGGUCGGCCCACAUCGCGGUGACCCCCCAUCCGCAGGCCACGAUGCCCGAGCUCUUCGUCACGUCCUCGAACGUGCCGUCGCCGCGGUUGCGGAAGAGGCGCGUGCACUCGGCGAGGGGCUGCGUGCGUCCCGCCUUCCGCCACUUCGAGGCGCUCUUGACCUGCUGGACGAGGACGAGGUCGAGGUUCCCGUCCCCGUCGAAGUCCGCGAGAGCCGCGCCGCCGCCCAUCGUGGGAAUGAGCUUGGCGUCGAUGAUGUCGCCGUGAAAGCGGAACCGGACGCCGGAUGCCCGGGUGACGUCCGUGAAGAGGGAGCCCGUGACGUUCUUCCUCCGGGAGCUCUCCUCGUGGAGGAGAAGGCUGCACGCCAGGACGCUGGCCGCCGCGGAGAGGACGACCGCGAGAGCGAGAAAACGACGCACGAAAGACGAGUAUAGGGGGCGGGAUCACCUGGGUGAGAAUGGAGCCGGCAGAUCGAUCAGGAGGGCGCACAUGGGUGAGAAAGUCUCCUUCACCGUCAACGGCCUGAAAGGCGAGGGGUGGUUCGCGAGGCCCGAGUCGGGCAAGGGACCGGCCGUCGUGGUGAUCCAGGAGUGGUGGGGUCUCGUGCCGCACAUCAAGGACGUGACGGAGCGCUUCGCGAAGGAGGGGUUCGUCGCGCUCGCGCCCGACCUGUACCACGGGAAGACGACGACGUCACCGGACGAGGGGGGGCGCCUCAUGAUGGAAAUGGACGCGGAGCGCGCGGGCAAGGAGAUCGCGGCGGCCGGCGCGUAUCUCCUGAACCGGCCGGAGUGUUCGUCGAAGAGCUUCGGCGUCGUAGGCUUCUGCAUGGGUGGCGCGCUCGCACAGUACGCGGCCACGUCCAUUCGGAGCGUGGGCGCCGCGGUGAGCUUCUACGGCGGCUUCAAGAAAGUGCCCAUCCGGUGGGAGAACCUCUCCGGCCCGAUCCUCCUGAUCUACGGCGAGAUGGACGAGGGCGUCCCCGCAUCCGAGGCGAAGCCGCUCGAGGACAAGCUCAAGGCGCUCGGGAAAAAAGCGGAGACGAUCGUUUUCCGGGGCGCGCCGCACGCCUUCUUCAACGACGCGCGCCCGGGUGUCUACCGGGAAGAGUGCGCGAAGGACGCCUGGCAGAGAACCCUCGACCAUUUCCGCGCUCACUUGGUCUAGGAGCGGCGGGCAGGAGCCGCCAGCUUUCCUAGAAUUGCCCAAUGGCGACCGAGACGCACCGGACCGUCUGCAAUCGGGACUGCCCCGACGCGUGCGGCCUCAUCGCCACGGUCGAGGACGGAAAGCUCGUGAAGCUGGGCGGCGAUCCGGAGCAUCCGGUCACGCAGGGUUUCAUCUGCACCCGCACGU